rnacentral:rRNA from 1 species
GAUGAACGCUGGCGGCGUGCCUAAUACAUGCAAGUCGAGCGAACAGACGAGGAGCUUGCUCCUCUGACGUUAGCGGCGGACGGGUGAGUAACACGUGGAUAACCUACCUAUAAGACUGGGAUAACUUCGGGAAACCGGAGCUAAUACCGGAUAACAUGUUGAACCGCAUGGUUCAACAGUGAAAGACGGUCUUGCUGUCACUUAUAGAUGGAUCCGCGCCGCAUUAGCUAGUUGGUAAGGUAACGGCUUACCAAGGCAACGAUGCGUAGCCGACCUGAGAGGGGGGUGGGCCACACUAGAAGUGAACCCGGGCCCAGACUCCGCGGGGGGGCGGAAGAGGGAGUCUUCCCGCAAGGGGCGAGGACCGGACGGACCACCGCCGGGGGAGAAAAAAAGGUCUUCGUACCUAAAACCUCUUUUAUAGGGAAAAAAAAAAUGUGUAAGAACUUCUACACGUCUGGACGGUCCCUAACAAAAAGCCCAGGGCUAACCCCGUC